rnacentral:rRNA from 1 species
GACGAACGCUGGCGGCGUGCUUAACACAUGCAAGUCGAACGGAAAGGCCUGCUUUCCCUUGUGUAUUGCGGGUACUCGAGUGGCGAACGGGUGAGUAACACGUGAGUGAUCUGCCCCCAACUUGGGUAUAAGCCUGGGAAACUGGGUCUAAUUCCCGAUAGGACUGCAGGGUGGUGCCUGUGGUGGAAAACGAUUUUCUAGUGGUUGGGGAUGAGCUCGCGGCCUAUCAGCUUGUUGGUGGGGUAAUGGCCUACCAAGGCGGCGACGGGUAGCCGGGCUGGGGGGGUGGGCGGCCACAUUGGGACUGAGAGACGGCCCGGACUCCUACGGGGGGCAGCAGUGGGGAAUAUUGCACAAGGGGCGGAAGCCUGAUGCAGCGACGCAGCGUGGGGGAUGACGGCCUUCGGGUUGUAAACUCCUUUCGACCGCGAGGAAGCCACCUGGUUGGAAGGGUGGUGACGGUAGUGGUAGAAGAAGCACCGGCUAACUACGUG